ACGCUGGCGGCGUGCCUAAUACAUGCAAGUAGAACGCUGAAGAGAGGAGCUUGCUCUUCUUGAAUGAGUUGCGAACGGGUGAGUAACGCGUAGGUAACCUGCCUUGUAGCGGGGGAUAACUAUUGGAAACGAUAGCUAAUACCGCAUAACAAUGGGUGACACAUGUCAUUUAUUUGAAAGGGGCAAUUGCUCCACUACAAGAUGGACCUGCGUUGUAUUAGCUAGUAGGUGAGGUAACGGCUCACCUAGGCGACGAUACAUAGCCGACCUGAGAGGGUGAUCGGCCACACUGGGACUGAGACACGGCCCAGACUCCUACGGGAGGCAGCAGUAGGGAGUCUUCGGCAAUGGGGGCAACCCUGACCGAGCAACGCCGCGUGAGUGAAGAAGGUUUUCGGAUCGUAAAGCUCUGUUGUAAGUCAAGAACGAGUGUGAGAGUGGAAAGUUCACACUGUGACGGUAGCUUACCAGAAAGGGACGGCUAACUACGUGCCAGCAGCCGCGGUAAUACGUAGGUCCCGAGCGUUGUCCGGAUUUAUUGGGCGUAAAGCGAGCGCAGGCGGUUUGAUAAGUCUGAAGUUAAAGGCUGUGGCUCAACCAUAGUUCGCUUUGGAAACUGUCAAACUUGAGUGCAGAAGGGGAGAGUGGAAUUCCAUGUGUAGCGGUGGAAUGCGUAGAUAUAUGGAGGAACACCGGUGGCGAAAGCGGCUCUCUGGUCUGUAACUGACGCUGAGGCUCGAAAGCGUGGGGAGCGAACAGGAUUAGAUACCCUGGUAGUCCACGCCGUAAACGAUGAGUGCUAGGUGUUGGAUCCUUUCCGGGAUUCAGUGCCGCAGCUAACGCAUUAAGCACUCCGCCUGGGGAGUACGACCGCAAGGUUGAAACUCAAAGGAAUUGACGGGGGCCCGCACAAGCGGUGG
rnacentral:rRNA from 1 species